CACCCCUGGCGAUGGGCAAAGAAACACCUUGGUGGUGAUGAUGUUCUUAUAUCAGUCAAGGGCAAAGCAACUGACAGUCCUUUAUUCAUCCCAGCUUGAGGCUUGGCUUGGUGGCCAAAGCUGUCUUAUGCCUAGGACACAUAA
ensembl:snoRNA LOC120102022 small nucleolar RNA SNORA48